rnacentral:rRNA from 1 species
AACGAACGCUGGCGGCAUGCCUAAUACAUGCAAGUCGAACGAGACCUUCGGGUGUAGUGGCGCAUGGGUGCGUAACGCGUGGGAACCUGCCCUUAGGUUCGGAAUAACUCCCCGAAAGGGGUGCUAAUACCGGAUAAUGUCUUAGGACCAAGGAUUUAUCGCCUUUGGAUGGGCCCGCGUUGAAUUAGCUAGUUGGUAGGGUAAAAGACUACCAAGGCGACGAUCCAUAGCUGGUCUGAGAGGAUGAUCAGCCACACUGAGACUAAGACACGGCCCAGACUCCUACGGGAGGCAGCAGUGGGUAAUAGUGGACAAUGGGCGAAAGCCUGAUCCAGCAAUGCCGCGUGAGUGAUGAAGGCCUUAGGGUUGUAAAGCGCUUUUACCCGGGAUGAUAAUGACGGUACCGUAAGAAUAAGCUCCGGCUAACUCCGUG